UACGGAGGGGGCUAGCGUUGUUCGGAAUUACUGGGCGUAAAGCGCACGUAGGCGGUUUUCCAAGUCAGAGGUGAAAGCCCGGGGCUCAAACCCGGAAUUGUCUUUGAAACUGGGAAACUUGAAAACGGGAGAGGUGAGUGGAAGUCCGAGUGUAGAGGUGAAAUUCGUAGAUAUUCGGAGGAACACCAGUGGCGAAGGCGGCUCACUGGCCCGUUGUUGACGCUGAGGUGCGAAAGCGUGGGGAGCAAACAGG
rnacentral:rRNA from 1 species